ACGUAGGCUCCAAGCGUUGUCCGGAUUUAUUGGGCGUAAAGAGCUCGUAGGCGGUUGAGUAAGUCGGGUGUGAAAACUCUGGGCUUAACCCGGAGACGCCAUCCGAUACUGCUCUGACUAGAGUUCAGGAGGGGAGUGGGGAAUUCCUAGUGUAGCGGUGAAAUGCGCAGAUAUUAGGAGGAACACCGGUGGCGAAGGCGCCACUCUGGACUGAAACUGACGCUGAGGAGCGAAAGCAUGGGUAGCAAACAGG
rnacentral:rRNA from 1 species